rnacentral:misc_RNA from 1 species
GUUUUCCUGAGGCCCAGUGUGCGUGUGUGUGUGCUCGUGCCGAUGCUGUCCGUGAGACCAAGUUUCGCGAGCUGAAAGAAGCCAGGCCCCCCAAAAACGAACGUCCAACUGGACAUCGUUAUGUGAAAUCACCAUGGUAUGUGAGCCAAGCCGAUGGGGAACGCGCUGUGCUGCUGCCUCGGCCAGGACGCGUCCACAGGCGACCACCCGCUAAAGUUUCUCGAUCCGGCGUGCUCAAAGGGCGGAGCCACGGGUGUUACCAACAGCCAGGCUGCUGCCACCGCCACGGGUCCCGCCUACGGGGCGGGUGCCUCCACCACACCCACUGGCGGUGGCGGUGUCCUGGCUUCCACGGUUGCCAGCACUCCAGCAACUACACCGACCGGCAUUGCCGGUCUCCUCGCCAACUCGGCCGCGGCCACCUCGGAGUCCAACGUGUCCGCCUCGACAGCUCCGGCAGCACCACGGACCAGCAUUGGCGAGCGGUUUAUGUUCUACCCCCGCCUCCAGCGGGAUGCGGGACGUCGGGGCACGUUCGAGCCGCGGCACUCGGAGGCACGCGCUGCCGCGCUCUUCGAGAAGUACCGGGACCCUGAAGAGGACGCCGUGCUUGCCGAGGGCAUCGUGCGCCUCUGCGAUGACCUCGGCGUGAGGCCCGAGGAGUUCCGCGUUCUCCUCCUUGCGUGGAAGUUUGGUGCCCAGCAGAUGUGCCGGUUCACAAGGGACGAGUUCCUCGGUGGCUGCCGCGCCCUCCGUGCCGACUCGGUGUCAGCCAUCCAGGUGCGGUUUCCAGAACUCCUGGCCGAGGCUCGGGAACCAGCCCGGUUCCGCGACCUCUACCGCUUCACAUUCCGUUUCGGACUCGAGUCCGGCCAGCGCACGCUGCCGACGGACAUGGCGGCACAGCUGUGGCGCCUCGUGUUCUCCCAGGAGCCGCCGGCGGUGCUUGAGCGCUGGCUGGCAUUCCUCGAGAGCCACCCCGAGGUGCGCGGCAUCACGAGCGACACGUGGAACAUGUUUUUGCACUUUGCCGAGACGGCGGGCCGCGACCUCAGCACGUACGACGACUCUGAGGCGUGGCCCAGCCUGUUUGAUGACUUUGUGGAGUACGAGAAUGACCAGACAAACCAGAAUGUGCUCCACCAGGUGAACAAAGGCGGCAGUGAUGUGAAGGCCGAGUGACGGUGCAUCGCCAAAGGGUUGUGACUAUUCAGAAACAUCGAGCCGAGGUUCCGAGCGAAGACACAUGCUCCACAGCCGCCCAGAACACGGUCCUGACGGCUGACAUCCUGCAGCACGUGGUCUGCGAGCCCGGUCUUACGAAAGGGGCCCCACUGCCGGGAGCUUGCGAAAGAAUCUACACUCUCUUGUCUUGAGCUUUGUAGCGCAAGCGCGAUCGCAUUCGUAGGCUGCACGUUUUGCUGCCAGUUUGAGGGAAGACUGCUAAAGAUCGUGUAGGCAAGUUCGCAGUAUUGAGGUGCCGGUGUUGUUUCUAAUGCUUUGUUUUCUGUCGAUGACGUAGCCGCGCGUGAGGAAAGAGAAAGCUUUCCUCAAAUUGACCAAUCGGAGUUGUGGGAUGAAACUGUGUUCUCUUUGUUCGAGUUCGGUCGGAUGUAAAAGCGGCGGGUCGCGUUACCUUGUUUGCCAGUGAAGUGCAGACUGUGUAACGGAUGCACAGACUUUGCCGCACCUUCUGCACCAGCCUUUCAAUCACUACACGAUGUCGAAACGAGGCAAGCGCAGUGUAUGCCUUAAGAGCACAGAGAACUAGUCAACAAGCCUGUGGCUCUCUGGAAGGUGUGGCAUCUUGCGGUGGUGUUAUAUAUUACAAGGGGAACAGUACGUGGUUGUAUGCUGCCAGCAAAAAAAAAAAAAAAACAGAUACAGAAAAACACACCAGUCUGCUAUUUUUUAUAGUGUGUAGUAUUGUGACUUAAAGUUCUGCAGUGGCUCUUAAAAAUGUAGCACUCUUGUUGCACACUUUCCCUUGCCAGCCAUGUUUCAUACUGAUGUCACAGAGGCACUUUUGAUAGCGAUCUGGGCUGAUUCGGAUUAGGCUAAUCCGAAUCACGUGCUGCUACACUGUCACUCUUAAUCACAAUCGGGAUCGAGACGAUUGCAAUCUACGCGCCACAAGGUUUGGCUCCCCGAUCACAGUGUGACUUAACGUUUACACCGAGCUCGUUCCAGAUAAGUUUUGACCGUUUAGCAGCGACCAUUGUUGCUCGUGAUCAAGAACUCAGAUUCUGAUCGGCCUUGAUCACGAUCAAAGAGGCCUGUGUGACGCCGGUACUAAGCUGCAUUUGCACUGCGACAGUGAUUGUGGACGAAUGAACCACAUGACUCAUGUCGUAGAUCGAAUAACUUUGUAACUUGCGUUCGUCCAACUAAGGAAUUGUGAAACUAAGUCUCCUUCAUUUCCUGAAACAAGGGAGAUGGCAUAAACUUUGCAAAACUUUCGCGAGUAGCUGUCCACCUCGGAGCAUGUGCGACCGAUGCCACCUUGUUCAGUGCGUGACCUAAAGACUGUUGUUGUUUUCAGACGAACAUGUUUGCUGCAGUGUUUCUAGCCUGAAGCAGUGAUUUAUUUUGCUGUAUCGGUGAAUCACUUCAUGCAAACCAGGGGAGUAAUCACCUACGAUGAUAGCGACAUGUACGAUCUCGUGAUGCGUACAAUCGGCAAGCUGAGGUCGGAAUUUCAUUCUGCGUCUCCAUCCGCUUUCGCAUUCAACAUUUUCCUCAAGAUACCAGUGCACAGCACUCAUGAACUGUACAUUUCUUGAUCUGAUGGUGCCUUGUUGAAGGCUGUGUUCUCUGGUGCAGGGUUUCAUAGGCAGUCACUGAAUAUCCUUUUAAAAAUCAACCCGACUUUUUUUUUUUUUUUUAAGGGCCUCAAAGCCAUUUAGUUUCGAGAAAUGUUCAUUAAGAUUCUGGAAUUUUGUUUUCUGGCCAGCCUCGGCAGAUUUUGUUUGUACGUCUGGCCACAAGUUUGGCACGAUCCCGACACCAAAACAAACCAGUCCCAAUUCUCUGAAUUAGAGUUACUGUAGUUCACUGAAUAACCCUAUCUCGCCUAUGUUUUCCCUUUAUGUUCAGUGAGGAAAGAAGUUCGCUUAUUGAAGGCAGUGCCUUUUCGUCUUGCCGAGCCUUAAUUUCAUUUUUCUUUUGUUCUGAAAUAGGUUCUGUGAAAGCCUUGCAAGUUCAUAAAAAGCCUACAAUUUCAUCUGCAAAAGCCUCCCAUGAACCCUGCUAGUGGGCAGCUGCUUUUCCCCUGCCAAGAUACUUGCUACGGCCUGGUAAACAAAGCUUGCUGAACAGAACACUCUUCUUGCCAAGAAAAGGUGCUGGAGGGUUUUACCCGCCUGUGUUCAAGAACUAUGACAGGAGAACAUUAGUUGUGAUGUAUAUUUAUUGAAACGAAUGCACAGCCACUUUAGGAGCUUCAUCUUGUGACAAAACUACGAAACAAGGCAGUGAUUGUUUUUGCUUUGUGAUAAACAUUUUUUACGCUGUAGUUGCAGCUACAUGACUUUGAGUAGGAGUUACUAGCAGUUCUACUGCGCUCAUUUAUUGCGACGGCAUACACUUUUGUAGCAGCUGGGUUUCAACAUGAGAGUGUUUCUGAAACAAAACACAAAUUUGGGAUUCUGCCCAGGCAGUCCACUCACGUUUGGUUUCCAAAUUAAGCCAGCGCGUUGUUUCUCGACUAUUCAGUUGCAACAUGGCAGUCAGUCAUAGUUGUAGACUUUGACCUACGGUGUUCACAUGCUGCUGGUGAUAGUGUUUUCACCAGAAAUAUUGCUCGCUACCCUUAAUUGAGACGUCGUGCCUGUAAAAUAGAGAAAGAAAAAAAUAUUCAGCCUUCGUGUUUACUCGCAGAGUGUUUGGUACUUGCACGACUUGUCUAUUAGAACUGUGGAAACGUGGGUAGGUGACGAGUAGACGUUAUAGACAUAGAAACGAAGGAAUGCAUCGCACAACGAUUUAUUUAGGAGCUAUCACGAGUUGUUGCCGAUCGUCAAUGGUUGUUCAAUUAUGCCGACAUAAGGUGGUUCAAAGCCUGUCAGGCCAACAUGGUCUGGGAGGGCUCAGCACAGUUUGCGAACCGCUGGCCAUUCGGCAUCACCUAUUAUGUCAAUGCGCGGAACUUACAUUCCCGACGAAGCUUGUGUAGGUCGCAUAGGACUUUGCGCAUGUGUUGAGUGCAGGCACGUUGUGGUGGGCAGCAAGUUUAAUAAAAGCCGAUCUUGUGUUCGAGUGAGAGUGUGGAGCCUUGCUUUGUAGUGUGUUGGUGCAGUGCGGGUGCUUUGUGCGUGAAUGGUUGUGCCUAUCAUCAUCAUUCAUGGGAAAGCUUGGGAUGUGUGAGCCGUCGCCAUCUCGUUUGUAUUUUCUAGGCAAUGCUUUAUUUUAUGCUUGUCAAUCCCUGUGGUUUACUAAGAGUUCUUCUCAACGAAGCAUUGUCCAACUAUUGUAUCUAGCAUGGAACGCAACACAUUGCCGUCUUGAGUUCUUGUAUAUUGUCCUGAAGUCAUUUGUGACAUCCGUGCUUGACAUUGUGAACGUUACCUUUUUUUUUUGUUCUCUCAGUGUUUGGGAAUCACAUCUUGGCAUUUGUGUGAGGAAACUGCGACACCAGCUGUAUAUGCUUGAAUCCUUCUGUUCUCAAUGUAUGUGUGUGUCUGCUCUCUGGAAGAGUGUUGCGUUUGCUAUCGCUGUUGAAAUCUCUGAAGAAUGUGUGGCUAUUUACAAGGAAUGUGUGAGUGUAUGUGCGUGUGAGCUAUCAAUAAACUUAUUUUCUACGAAAA